UGCUUAGGACUCUCUGAAUACUAAUAUGCUUAUGAUGAUAAUGUUGUUUUGUACAUAUUGCUCUGCUAUUGAAUCACAAGUGACAUUGUGCUCUUCUAAAUACACUUUCACAUUUCCACAGGAUUUGUAUACAGUUCCUCUACACUACAGGAACUCCAUGUGAACAAAUAUGUAUAGAAGCUAGAAGAAGACACAACAACUGUUUUCCCUAAAAUUACACAUUUUGUAGCUUUACUUUAAUAAGGGGGUAUUUGCAAGAAUUAGCAAAUGCCAGAAAGAGUGAAGAUAUUGGGGAAUAGACUUGACAAGUGCAACAGUCCUAUUGCUAUCUUAUCGAUUUCUACGUCUUCCAAAACUGAAGUAUUCAGUAGGAAACUGAUGUAGUGAGUAUAUAUUUACCACGUCCAUCUCCUGUGCCCUGUGCCACACAGAAUCAGCUUUGUUAGCAGUAGCUCGCAGCCCGAGCCUGGGCUGGAUAGUAUCUUCCGUUUAUCUUUCAAAACCCAGGUGUCAUCAUGACGGUUGUUUUUUUAGGGGCAGAUUUCCUAAACGACAGAAAACAUCAAAGCUUCUGAUAUUUUGUUGAUAUGGCUAGAAAGAAAUAGAUGCGUCUUCAGGCAAGGGGAGCACUCCUCUCCCUGAUUGCGGACAUCAAGGAAGAAGUUUCUUCUUGGAAGGAGGUUCUCCAGUUAACACCUAGCUUAGAACUGUAUUUUCCUGCCUUUAGUCCGUCAACAAGCUCCAUCUGUUGAAUGAAAACCUAGCACGUGCUCACAUAAAAAAGGAACUAUUUGUUUGGCAGAAUAACCAAGUUUUGUUUCACUACAGUUCAAACCAUUUUUCUUAGUCAUCCUGUUGUUCGCCAUAUAAGUUCUUGUGAUUAUCAGAUAUGCAAACUUUUCAUGUUUGAUUUCCAUAUUCCAAUUUUAAUUCUCUUUUAGUCAUAAAAUCUACAUGUAAAACAAAAUGAGAACUGCAUUAAGGUAUGUCUCAUUAAUAAAAUGGUAAAUUAAUACCCUGCACCAUUAGCAUGUAAUUGAAUCAUUAGUCUUUGGUGCAAAGGAUGUCAUGACCUCUAGGGCCAUUUUGUUUGGACACAAAUGAAUGCCACGGAGCAUAUGAUGUUUCUAAUGUCACUUUCAUUAACUCAUUAACUGAUGUUUUCACUAGUUCAGUAUUUCAUAUUAAUGGAAAUAUGUGGUUGACUGGUUGGUAAGCAACACUGUGGACACGCCUGUAUUUUUCUUUCUUUCUGUGUUGGUUCUAAGAAUAUGCCCUGUUUCAGCCUAUCGGAAACUUGCUCGGAGCUAUCACCCUGACGUGAACAAAGGAUGCUUGUGACACGGUUUGAACUCUCAAAGUUGACUUCAUCCGGGAAGAGAAAUGACCAAUCAGUUCAGAAGUUGCAUGUCUAAAGUGUCGCGCUGAAGCUCCUUCUCUUUUUUCCACAAGUGAACUGAAACUAUUCCAAAUCCAAAACAUGUCAGGCUGACCUGAUUUGCUGUUGGAUGGUACUCUGCCAAAUACUCUGCAAAUCAUUUAUAUAUACGAUUCCUAAGGAUGAAAUCUGACAUCUACAAGACCCAAGAACAAAAGAUGUAAUAGUAAUAGCUAAAGACAGCGUUAGCUCUGUAUAGUUAAUCCAAAUUCACACUCA